rnacentral:lncRNA from 1 species
UGUAGAUAAAUGGAAACAGACAGGGUUAAGGUCUUGGAUGAUGACCACCACAAAAUAGUUGUCAAUUUGAAGGGGAAAAGGGCAAAAAAUAGUGCAGCAGUUAUAGUUGGAACUAGCCGCCCAGUGUUGUCUCGACAGUCCAGCUCACCUUCAUCGUUUAACAAACUUGGCAAACGUAAGCGAUCUGAUGAAUGCAGAAAGAAGUGUAGAUCAAACUUCAGAAGCUCCGUGCUUAAAAACUAUACAAAUUUCAGCAAAAGUGGGCUUCCUCAGCGAUUUCUAUACUAUGAAUCUGGGGACUGGAUAGACUAUCCUCAUGGAGUUGUUGACUUGGUCAGGGAGCACUUUCGACAGAAAAAUGCAGUUAUAAAUGUGGAUUGGAACGGCUGCCGUUUGUUGCUAGAUAUUCUGUUUAUGAUACAGGUGGAAAUUAAAACUGGUCAAGCGAAGCAAAUUGCUUGGAUUGAUGAAGCAGGUUGUUGUUUCUUUCCGGAGAUCCUUUCCUGUCAUUUAGAAAAAGAAAAGUACUGCCAUUCUGAGUUACAGAGUGAUUCACCUUAUGUGCUGAAAGAAGCCAAAGGGCCCCAAGAGAUCACAUUGAAGCUUGAGAUUGGAAUAACGGGAUUGAGUAGCUCCAAUACAGAGGAAUGUGUUGAGGAGUCGAAUAGUCCUGCUAAGAGGAUAAAAAUUGAACAAAACUCUUUUGGUAGUCGAGAUGAUAGGGAAAAUGACUAUUGCAACCAAAUAUCAGAUGCCCAAAUGCAGGAAAUCAAUAAGGGAACUCGACAGUUCGAUGAAAACAUAUUGCCCGAGUCGCCAGUUCUGGAGCAAACAUUGGACUCUAAUUCAGUACGAGACAUGUUUAAUCAGGGCAUUGGUUCCUCUGUGAGUGCAUGUAUAGUAGAGAUUAAGCACUGCACUAAUGAUUUGAUGCAAGCAAGAGCUGAGCUGUUCCAUAAGCAGGUUGAAAUAACUAAGAAGUACCGCGGGAAUCCAAAUGUCCAAUAUGGUUGGAUGGCUGUUACUAAAGAUGCCCUAUCCAACAUCAUGCUUUAUGGGCUUGGUCAUGGUAGACCCAUGAUUAUGUCCACAUAUGGCAUUGGAGUUCACUUGACAUCUCUUAAUCAAGCCGAUAUCAGGUUUGCACAUAUAUUCUAUCUUUAAAUUCAUUUAUCAUGUUAAGAGAAUCUAGUAUAAGUAAGAUGCAGAUUUCAACUACCAUAGAAUCAUCUAUGGUGUUUAAUUUUGUUCAUUAGAUGUGGAGUAUUAGUACUGUACUUUUGUGCCCUCCCGCCCUAAAAAAGACAAUUUCUUUUUUCUGAGAUCCAGAUUUUGGUGCUGUAGUGAAGUUCUAUUUCUUGCUCUCUGUUUUGAGGAUAUAUUAUAUGUAUAUCUGUGUGUGUGUAAUUUGUAGUUUGCUUUGUCAGAGGUUUUACUACUUGUUAUCUUGACAGUGCAAGUUACUGUGAUGAUGACGAUAAUGGGGUGAGGUACAUAAUGUUAUGCCGUGUUAUCAUGGGAAAUGUCGAAUUGGUCAAUCCUGGAUCUGGACAGUGCCAUCCCAGUUCUAUACAAUAUGAUAGUGGAGUUGAUGACCUUCAAAAUCCACGCCAUCUAAUAGUUUGGAGUAUGAACAUGAACACCCAUAUUUUUCCAGAGUAUGUUGUCAGUUUCAAGACAUCUUCGAAAGCUGAAGGUGGUAUAUCUAUCCUCAUAUACUUGUUCCUUGUUUGAUUUUCUGGAGUGAUUCUUGCACUCACAGAUCUCCAUCUGCACGCCUUUUUUGUUUUUGCUCUUCAAUUGUUCUUAUUUCCAACCGUGCUCCUAGUCUCAGAAUGUUCUAUCACAAGUACCCAUCUAACAUUGCUGCCACGCUCAACUACAUGAAACUGAAUACGGUCAGUUAGAAAUGAAGGUGGGAUGAACACCUGAAAUCAAUAGGUGUUAAUAGCUAUAAUGACAAUCUGGAACUAUGUAGUGGUGCUCACUUGACAGUUGACAGUUGAUGAUCCCCAGCCAGUAAGUAUGAAUUUAGACCUAGGGUCUUUCUUCUAAUCAACCUAGAAUGAGUCUAUAGUUGCUCAGAUUAGGGAGUGGUCAUUGAUUUUUGGGUUAUUCGAACCUCUUUGAUCAAAUCACUGAGAGGAAAAAAAAAGAAAAGAAGGCGGCAUACUAUGGCAGUGUUAAGUUGGUUUCAUGUAAAGUUAAAACAUGUUAGAACACUGAAACUCAAAGAUUGACUGUUGAAAUAAGAAUAAUUGAAAGGUAGUGCAGAUGGAGAUGUGGGAAGUGUGAAAAUCACUCCUUUUAUUUCUGGAGCCAAAUUCAUUUUUGAAAAUAGUAAUUUGAAGAAAUAUGGACUUGAUUGCAUUUUUUUUUCAAUAUCCUAUUCAAGUAGCUUCUGAUAAUGCAGUCAGAAGGUUUGAAGCAGGCUGUGCAAUCUUUUUAUUUGGUCAUGCUAUCUCCAUACUUAUGAAAUAGGCUAUCCUUUCUCUUUGUACAUCUACGUAUGACUUGUCACUUGCUGGUCCAAAUCUCUGGUGGGUUUUUCACUUACUGGGGACCUCUUGGUUCAUGAAAACCUUUCUUUCGAUCAAUUUUGCUUAGAAAAUGCAAGUAUUGGACCACUAGAACUUUUUGUUGCUACUACAGGGACCAUGGUUACAGAAAGCAGAGGUCCUCUGUCUGGAAUUACAACUAGUGAUGAAUGUCGAGGCCAAUUGCAGUUCAACUGCUCCCCAAUGGAAUCAGUAAGUCCUCCAUUGCGUUGAAACUUAAGCUUAUUGUUUUCUAUUCCGCCUCAUAAUAUCAUCUUCAUCUUGUUUGCAAGAAUGUUAAACAUUGGCGUUAUUUGCAACUUUGCUUUAGUAAAUUGAUGCACAAAUAAUUUGUUGUGCCUAUCCAACAUUAAAGGACUUCUGAUGUUGGUAGUGUAGACGGCUGAAACUGCCUUAACUUCCAUUCAUGAAGCCAUAACUGUUCUGUGAUAUCUAGAAGGCAUCAAAUCCCAUAAUUAUUCUCCUUUAUUCUCUUUCUCUCUCUCUCUCNNNNNNNNNNNNNNNNNNNNCUUCUUCUCUUCUCUCUCUCUCUCUCUCUCUCUCUCUCUCUCUCUCUCUCUCUCUCUAUCUAUAUAUAUAUAUAUAUUCUGGCAAUUCUCUUUCUGGUGCGCCUUCAGACGAAACCUAAGAUCACCCAUCUUCUUGCCUUGGCUUCUCUUAAUAUUGAAGCAGAAUGUGAGGCUUACUUUGAAUCUUUCUUUAUAGACUUGAGCUAUGGCAAGAUGAUAGUUGUAUUAGGUUAUUUGGCAUUGGAUUCUACUAGUGUUAGCCAAAGGAUGUUUGCUUUGGAAUACUUUCGUGUCAGGUUCAAUGACAUGUAGAAUUUACUAGUGUUGAGUCAAAGUGUGGAAUUCUGUUGGUAUACUCUCAGUGUUUCAGUUCAUUUUUUUUGUAUAACUUAUUUAGCAAUUAUGCAUAAGGAUCUACAAGUUGUAUUCUUGAGGUUUUGCUCUCCUUUGUCACUUUUCUGAAUACUUUUUGAUACUUUCAAUGCUUUUUCUGUAGGGGAGGCGUUCUAGGCCAGCUUUAGAAUCCAAGGGAUCACAGGAAAAGCCUGUUGGAAUUGGCUCAAGCUCUUUGGCAGGUCCGAAAUCCCCAUGGAUGCCAUUUCCAGCAUUAUUUGAAGCUAUUUCAAAAGAAGUUGCUCCGAACGAUAUGAAAUUGGUUAAUGUUCACUAUGACCUAUUCAGGGUAUGUAAUUUUGGAUUCUUAGUAUUUAGAUCUUAGUGAAAAUUUCGUUUAUCAUGAUUCUUUCUCUUGUCGGUCACUUAUUAGAGCAAGAAGAUCAGCCGGGAAGAUUUUAUUCAGAAGUUAAGAGCAAUUGUUGGAGAUUCCUUGCUGAGGUCAACCAUAAUAAGCCUUCAGUGCAAGGUAAUGUCAUCUUUAAUGAUGUUAGAUACAUACUUGAUCAGUUCAUGUGGAGCAAUGUCAUGCGUUGUGUAUGUUUGUGGCUGGCCUGUGGAAAACAAGCUCUGACUUGCUUUCACAGUUAAUUUGGCACCCAUAUUUGGCUGGCUUCCCUUUGGUUGGUAUUUUUCAUGAUUUUUGCUUGUAGUUGUAUUCAAUGCUUGCCCUCAUCCCUUUGCCAGGGAGUCUUCUUCAUUCAGGAAGUUUUUUCUUGGAAUCUGUGAAUUCUUAGUUUCGUUACAUGUUUAUAAUUUAUUUAAAAUGAACAAAUUCAUAGCAACUCAUCUCUGAAAGGGAACAAUAUAGAGGUUGUCUGAUGAGUAAUUUAUAUAAAUGGAAUUUAUAUUUAUUAACUUAUGACUGUUCAUUUUGCACAGCUGCCACCAAUCUCUGCAAUCCCUAUGAAACCGCCAAAGCAGGGAGGAGAAUUUGAUGCCGCUUGAUUUGUUAAAUGGUGGUUGGAUCUCUGACUGUCGUUGGGGUCUGGCUGAUGUUUGGUAAGGUUGCUGCUCUCCUAAUGUGUCGACAUGAUGCAAACCAUAUUACCAUUUGACAGAUGGAUAUGGCUUUGUUGGAUUUUUGUCUAUUUAUGCUUUGUACUGAAACUCUGGUUUGAACUCUGGAGUGUAAAGCUGAAUUGGAUUGUAAACUGGUCACUGAUCAUUGUUAGUUCUAGUUUUCUAGCGAAUUUCGGGAAUUUUGAAAUUUCAAAUCUAGUAAAAUCCAUCUGUUUAAUGUCUGUUGGAAAAUGUCCUUUCCUUCUCAAUGAUUCUUACUGGAUCCCUUGGGAAAUUAUAUUGAAUAAUUAGUUAAAGUCUAGAGUGAUCUGAACUUAAGCCAAUAUACUGCCCUGAGAAUUCCUACAAAAAAGCAGCCUUGUAUGUGAGUGCUUAUUUGGCUGUAUGCCAAUCUGAAUUUGAACAUCAGAUUGUUGCCUGAAUUCAAUAUUUUCCUUAAUUUGACCUUUAUAGAUCGUUCGAAUAUGUUUAGUGGUAUGGGGUUAUUGGUGAAUGUGAUUGGUAGUAGGUACACAUGCUUUAGUGUAACUACUACGAUGCGCAGAUAUUGAUUUGGGGUGCAGUAUGAAUGAAACCAAUUACCUAUACAAAGCCAAAUCAUCCCUUGGUCCUAACUCCUGACCCAGAUUUGCAAAUCUUUUUGAACCAGGGAUGUGAGGAUUUGAACUCCAGCUUCGUUUACAUUUCAUUUUUUUUCGUGGUUAGUUUAUCUGUUUUAUUAGAUGAAAUUAAACAAGACAGUGCAUCUAUUUUUUUUUUUUUUUUUCUAGUAAGAUACGUCAAGUUUAUUGAUACAAAAACAUUAUCUUGAUAUUAGUCUCUAAAAAGGGAGGUGAGAAGAGAAAAACAUGGUUUAUUAUAGUGCAUAAAGCAUUUUUGCAGAAUGUUUCAUGUCAUGAUCAUUCAUUCUUCAUGAUCAUUAUGCUUGAAGUAUAAGUGGUGUAUUCCAUUAUUUCAGUUUCAUGCCCAGACUUCGAAAGUAUCAGAACCAUAUUGUUCAAAUGAUUCAAAUUAAUCGGGUUCUCGUUAAUAAACCAGAAUGAUCAGGUAGCGAGCCAAGCAUCCAAUAAGUCUGAACUCUGAAGCUGCUCGUCGAAAAAAAAAAACACAAGUCUGAAGCUUGACCGGUUCUCUAGAUUUGGCAUUUGAGAACACUGGCCACUGGGACUAAGAAUGAUCAGAUGUCAACCAUCGCACAUAGAAGACAUGCUCCAAAGUGUAAUUCAGUACAGUUUUGGAAAAGAGAAUUAGCACGUAUUGCUUGCAAACAAGGUGACAACUCACAAAUAUGCUUCGAUAAUAUAUGCAGUUGUAGCGAUACAGUUUAUGCCUACAUUUUAGAUGCAAAACUAGGGAACUCAUCAGAAAUAUUUUCAAUAAUGCAGCAGUGUCGUUAUUACUGUAAUGUUGAACUUUUCUCCCCUAACAUGGUCUAACCGUAAUUCGUUGAGGCAUUUGCACGAGCAGGACAUCCAUUUGCAAAACCCAUCAUCUAUGGUAAGUUGGUAACAUUUCUCAACACCAAGUUUUGGAGAUUAUUAUGAGAAACUAAGGUGGGUGCUCUAAGAAUUGUAUCUGUGUUGAUGAAUAGAGACCUCAAAUAUCCAGAAAAGUAGAUACAAGAUGGCAAUUCUAGCAUCACCCCUAUCUGAUAUGUGCAGUCUCAAUUGAAGCUCAAGCACUUCAACAUUACACCUUAAUGCAAUAUGGAUCCAGAGAGACCUGCAUAGAAGUUCCAAUCGAUACGAAAUCGCUGUAUCCUAUUAGCCCCAUGAAGAAUCAUGAACCUAUCUAUAGAAUUCAACAGUUUAAACGGAUCCUGCCUGUUUAUUGCGAUAUAGAAACCUCUGCAUCUUUUGGACACGCUGCCCACUUGAACGACUUGUCGAAAACUGAAGCCUGACAGUUUGUGAUGAGCCAAAUUGUUGGGUAGAUUACUAAAUCUAUCGACUACUCUUCCUACAGGCUCCUGGAGCUUGAGAACUUGCAGUUGCAAAUAACAUAGUCCGUGGUACCUGGUUUCUCUAUGUUCCUGUGGGAGAAAUUAACACCUACUAGUUUCAAAGGACAUGAGAUCAAAACUUGUAUAAAUACAUGGUGCCUAAGACCAUUUAAAUAUCUAAACUCUAUAUGCUCUAUUAUAUUUCACAUUUUAUGAGUCCAUAUUUAAGCACCUCUAAACAGGCACACAACAAGAAAACUGUAAUGAGAGGGAGGAAACUAUCAGUUGAAUCAAAUGCAAAUUGAGGAGCCAAAAAAGGACAAGAAAAUCGUAAAAUUAAUAUAAAUAAAGGGGACAUUAUGAAAAUGAAUGCAAAUUUAAGUACAGCUAACCCUUUACAGGUUUCCUGGUUGGUUAAUAGAACUACUCAAUUCCAAGAUAUCAACAAAAGUUUACACUGAAGCAGCUGCAAUUUAUCUCGACAAGAACCCAUAUUCUGAAAUUGCAAUCUCAAAUGCUUGAAUCCUUUCCCCGGUAGCAAAGCCAUUGCGAUCAUAAGACGAUAUUUCACCUAUGUUGAGAUCACUGCAGACUUGAAUCAACUUCUCGCCAACGCGUUUAGCAGCUUCAGCGGUACUACAAUUGGGAUCCUGACGGAUAGAUUUCUGCAGUGUGCUUCCAUAAAACAAACACUUGUUGUUCUGGUCAUCUACCAGCAUAGCAUACAAUUGUUUGUCUGAACAGAAGACCGAAAGCCUCGGCUUCGUGGGCGUGCCGUUGUACUUCUUCUGCAUUCUUCUGUUUCGAGUUUUUGCACUUUCAGUUCUGGCAGGCUGCCUCGCUCUCAUUACUACCGACUUCAUGGAGAAUUUUCUUAUAGUCUGCAAAACUUGAAAGUUGGAAGUUGCAGAACGACUCCCUAAAAGAGCAGAAGACAUAAACUGGAGAGCAGCAACGUUCACUAGAGCCAUACCUCCACCCUGCAAAUUGGGUAUCAUUGAAAACAAACGAAAAUCUGCGAAAAUUGCAAAGCAAGUUCAUUGAGACAUUUCAUCGAGCACCUUAUGGGUCCAGUUAUGAUGCAUUAAAACAUUCUUUGCAUAAAGCUCUACGAAAGUUGGACGCUUUGUCUGUGACCAGAAUGGUGGCAGCAGCUUACCAACAAGCACACAUCAAUCAUAAGCUUGUAGAUCACUUAUGAAUUCAGUUCAAUAAGCUAACACUUAAACGCAGUUUCACAAAGAAGAAAACUUGGGGACCAGACAAACCAACCCAAGUCCAUAUGCAAUGGAUGUAAACAAAGUGAUCAAAUUUCCAAAUUUGUUAGUUAUCUACUUUAGGGUAAUUGCUAGCAUCUAAUCUCUUUUAGGGUAGAGUGUUUGUCUAAAGAAAAAGCAUCCAUAAGUAAAUUUCAGGUUUUAUAUGCAAAAGGAGUAACACAUAGACAAGGAUAAGAUGCGGAAAGCAAGGUAUUUAAAACAGUAAUACUGAAACAAACGUGCUGCUCGUUUAUAAAGAACUCAUAGGAUCCACAAACAACCUAACAAGUAAAAACAAUCAAAACAUUCUUUUGCUCCUACCCACGUCACAGUCAUUUUAUGAUGCAAAACCACAAAAAGAAAGAAUCAAGCUUGCAGUAACUUCAAAUGUUCCAUUUCUGUUUCUUAGCUAGAUGAAAAAUCAAAGUCUACACAAAUUCCAAAACCUCUCAUUUUGAAACUCGCUGCUGAGUCAAGCUGAACAUGAGCCUACGCUUGAUGAUCCAACUUAAUGGAUUCACGUCUGUUCAAGGAAAACUCAAGGAACCCUGAAAAGCUGCACUUGAGCUGAGCAUGCAGGAAGAUACCAAAUUUGUGAAGCAGACAGAUGACAAUGCCAUAUGAGCUCUUUAAAACAGUUGGCCCAUGAUUCGAGCUCCAACUUUUGUACUGAAGAAAAGUGUCGGGAAUAUAUUUCAAAUCAUCAACUCUCUUAUUUUUCAUUAUAACUUGGCCUGAUUGCGCGGCAGUGUAGCAUCCAAAAGCCAAACUCUAAUUGUGAUGAUUGUAUAAAUCCCACUUGUAUGACAUGGCUAUACUUCUGGCAUAUAGAACUGAUAAUUUGAUGGAAGUCAUUUCUCACUACACCUUCCCAUUCCUCUAAAUGUUGUUCUACACAUGCAUUUGAAUAUGAAUGCCAACAAAAGAUAGCGAAGAUAGAUAACAAGAGUUCAGGGUCAACAUGAUUUGCAGCGUCAGUGCUGACCCUAGAGCUCACAGUAACCAAAAGAUUAGAUUCAGUUCAGAGGAAGUUGCCCACAAUGUCAGAACAUAUGAAGCUUCUUAAACCAAUGACAUUCCUGAUGGGUAUUAGGAACGAUAUAUUAGAGAUUAUCAGGUUCAUAUCAACUUUGAUAUAUCUCUAAUGAUCGAAGACCAACACUUAGUUAUUCAACCAAUAAAUCCAAGAACUCAAACUUAAGUUGCUUAGCCUUAAACAAUCAAUGGAUGAAGGAAUAAAAAUAAAAUAAAAUAAAUUUAAAUAGUCUCACAUGCAUUUCAUCAAACAGGUGGUGAGCAACAAUAUCAGUUUGUCAAAUGCAUUCUUACACAUAAUACUGUCAAGGACUGGGUCAUUGAUGGUUCAGAAUCACAAAACGUAAACAGAAACGAAGAAAAGCAAAAACCCAGAAAGCCCCAGAACUGAAAACACUACCUGGAAUCAAAAAAAGAUUGGCAAAAAAAUUUGGACCAUUUCUCGAUUUAUGCGUGUCAUCCUUGCGCAGGGGCCAUGCUAAUCUUCUCUGUAUCGUUCCAAUUUUAUCGGAUGUCCCCGAAGGGACGAGCUCUACUGUCAUGUCUUCCAAAAUAAACAGCCUUCUGUUUUCGCUUUUCUGCGAUGUGGGAUCAUAACAAAAGCACGUGGGCCUCACGUGUCGUCUCUCUCAAAGCGCAAUUGUAUGGGACUAUUGAAGGGGAUAGACAAGUAACCGUAACUUCACCAUGACCAAUGGCUUCUGAUGGAAAUCAUCCCCUUCUUUUUGUUCUUUCUGUUUGGAUUUAGGAAUCAAGAGCUUUAAAUCCCUGUCACAAAAGUUUGGUCUUAGCUGCUUGGAACUGAUCAUGAGUAAGAUUGUGUUUCGCUUCUGUAGCCUAAAACUUAACCAGUAUUGCUCUACAUAUUCAUAAGUUAGAAACAGAAUCAGACUCUGCUAGUCUUGUGUUCAAAUCUGCAACUCUUGAUCUUCACCUUCUUGGUACCCUCGUCUUGAAGUAUGGAGCAAUUUGAUACUUGCGGGUAUAAGCAUAUUCGUAACUCAUAAGGGAUGUACAUGCAUACAAGUAGCUGAAAUCCUUGCUAAGGAUUCAACACUCUUCGGGUGUCCGCACUUUCACUUCCCCUCCUGCCAAGGUAGUUGAAGCCUUGUUCUUUGGUGUAGCUAGACACAAAUAGCCGAGUAGUUGCCUUUCCUGUUCUUCUCUAUUUGAUGGGUAGGUGACUAGUUGCCUUCAUUCAAAAAAAAAAAAAAAAAAAGUUUCUUUUCUGGAUGAAAAAAUAGUGGCCGAGCGAGCUAUAGGUCUAGGCCGGAGCGAGCUUUAGGUAUGACCUUUCUCAAAAGAAUCUUUCCACAAGAUGAGGUUGACUAUUUUGCAGUCCGACUUGCUUCCAUUAGACCAGUCUUAUUAAACAAGAAUACAAUUUUUUUUUUAUAAUUCUUUUAGAUGAAUGCGAUAACUGAUAUUAAAUUAUAACUAAGAUGUAUAUAGAGUGAUUCAGAAAUAUCAUAACAAGAUACACAAAAUUAUCUAUAACAAGAAAAAACAAUAAAAGAAAACAAAACGCAUGAAUACAUCUAAAAUGAUAUAUAACCAUAGAACUGUACAUGGCCCUUCCAAUGAGGGAUCCCUAUUUUAAGCCAUUUAUAGGGAUAGGGCAUUACACCAACUUCCCGACUAUAAUUUUACAUCUCCACCGUUCAUAUCUUAGGUCUAUAUGAGUAGAUCAUCUCUACAAAAUUUCAUAUGAUUUGGUGAUCGUUAAGACUUUCAAAAGUUCAAUUUAGUUUUAAUGACCUUCAACGGUUUAGUUUGACNNNNNNNNNNNNNNNNNNNNACCUUCAACGGUUUUAGUUUGACAUAAGCUGGACCGUUCAAGAUCAUUAAAACUAAAUCAAACUUUUGAAAGCCUUAACGAUCACCAAAUCAUAUGAAAUUUUGUAGAGGUGAUCUACUCAUAUAGACCUAAGAUAUGAACGGUGGAGAUGUAAAAAUUCAAUUGGGAAGUGGUGUAAUGCCCUAUCCCUAGAAAGUGGCCAAAAAUAGGGAUCCCUCAAUGGAAGGGGGCUGUAGAACUGUAUGCCUAUUGAUGCAUUAUAUAUGUCAUGAAAGCUAGUGUAAGUGUAGGAAUAACUGUAACCAUGAUCGUUACCAGAACCAAGGAGAUACAACCAUUACGACAUUUUAUAACUACUUAGUAUUUAUAAUAAAUUUUCACAACACGUAACAUUUCACUGUCUUAUUAUAAAUAAUUCACAUGACAAACACCUGUUUUAUGUUUUAUUGACACCACUUUUAUUCCACAAUGACAUUUCUAUUUAUACUUUCACUGGUUUGUCCCCACGUCUCAAAAAUAUAAUUAAAUUUUUAUUUUGCAAUUUUUGAACACCGCCUUGUGCAACACACACCUUGGGCAACACACCAAUGCGAACCUUCCAUAAUACACUUUCACCCGCACGAUCAACUCAACGGCUCCGAUUCAGCGGUUUAUACAACUAAAAGAGAGACCCACCGCCUCCUACAAUACCCUAUGAGAAGAAUAUUGGAGAAAUCAGAAAUUGCUAAGUUGGUUCGGUAGGCUUAACUUUAGCCUCACGUUCUCAAAAGUCGAAACGUUUCUUCGCUGGCUUCAAAUCAAACUAGGUUUUCUGAGCCUCCUUUGAUUCUCAGUCUUUAGGGCUUUUGUUCAAUUUCACUGGAUCACUUCAGGUCCUUCCUUCUUUUUUCUGUAUGGACUUUUUUUUGUUGUUGAUUUUUUAGAUCCAUCUAAGGGCUCUGAUCUUGGUACUAGUUUGAUUAUUCUUUGACGUUUUGAAUUUGGAAUCACUGAUUGUUGUGUUGCAAUUAAUUAUCGUUCUGAAAUUGUAUUGCUGCAAUCAGAUUCGAAUUCAUUUUUUGUUUUUUUUGUUUUUGCUUUUAGUAUUUGACUUUGGUGAUUUUAAGGAUUCAGAAUGUAAAUCCAGUUCUAACAACUUGAUUUUAGACAAGUUAAUUAUUAUGUGAAUAAUUAUGGUUUCUGAUUUAACUGUUGAAUUUCAUGAUAGACUCGUAUAAUUGAAACUGAGAAAUUACUCUUCAUUUUAAUGGUUUUGGCUUCAGUCUGUAUGAUUUGUUAGAAUUCGUACUCAUGGUGCUGUCUUCUUUGCAGGUUUUAUAUUCAGAUUCACCGUAUUUGGGUAGUCAAACUCAUCUACAGAACUUUCAAGCUCACCUCACAAAAUUACUGAAUACAACUAGUGGUAGAAUAGAUGUGUGAGUGAUUUUAUAUUAUUUUAUAUUUUUUUAAAUUUACUUCAUAUCAGUGUAUUACAUAGAGAUUUUUCACUGAGGGUGUGUUUUGAUUGUUUCAGGAUCGAUACAGUUAAUUGGUAGGAGAAACAAAUAGAGGUAGUUUCUCUUGAUUGGUGUUUUUCUUCCUGCAUUUGAUAAUUUUUAAUUCUUAUCUUCUUUAGUGGGUUCUGUUUCAGUCAUUGCAAGAAGAAUUACCAUUUUCUGGUUACUCGCACAUAUACGUUGUUCAGAAACAUGACUUGUACGAUAUGUCCUGCUACUACAGAAUACGGUACGGUUUUGUGUGUUUCUUUUUCCUAUGGUUCUGUUGUUUAUAUUUGCUUCUUUCACUUAAGAAGGGGAAGUACUUCUAUAUUCUUGUGCCUGAUUUUGAACCGACACUCGAAGUUAGAAUAUUGAACUUCUGUGUUGUAAAAGAUGUUAUACAUAUAAAACGUGCAACUUAUCAUUAUAAAUUGCUUGGGUGUUAAAGGCAUCAUGUUUCACCUGUUUCUUUUAAUCAUUGGUGGUGGUCGGAAAUACCCAGCUUUUCUUUGCCUUUUUUAUGUAGUGAGGUCAAUAAAAGUUAUUAUCUUUGACCUGUAUUAUGGAACUGGACGUGUAGCAUGAAAAGAUAUAUGAUUAAGCUCACCAGUAAAUACUCUUACAUGCAGAUUUUACCUUCUGGUAAAUGAAUUAGAAUUAGUAUAAUGAGAGAUGCUAUAUCUUAAAUGCAGGCUAUGCAAAUUUGUCUCCAUGGAACAAUUUCUCCAUUCCCGGAACUGAAGAAAAGUAUUGUACAUUGUUUUUAGAGCAUUUAGGAUUUAGUCUGUAAAUAGGGCUUUUCCGUAUAGAUAAAUGGAAACAGACAGGGUUAAGGUCUUGGAUGAUGACCACCACAAAAUAGUUGUCAAUUUGAAGGGGAAAAGGGCAACAAAUAGUGCAGCACUUAUAGUCGGAGCUAGUCGCCCAGUGUUGUCUCGACAGUCCAGCUCACCUUCAUCGUUUAACAAACUUGGCAAGCGUAAGCGAUCUAAUGAAUGCAGAAACAAGUGUAGAUCAAACUUCAGAAGCUCCGUGCUAAAAAACUAUACAAAUUUCAGCAAAAGUGGGCUUCCUCAGCGAUUUCUAUACUAUGAAUCUGGGGACUGGAUAGACUUUCCUCAUGGAGUUGUUGACUUGGUCAGGGAGCACUUUCGACUGAAAAAUGCAGUUAUAAAUGUGGAUUGGAACGGCUGCCAUUUGUUGCUAGAUAUUCUG